rnacentral:tRNA from 1 species
GGCUGGCUGGCUGAGUUGAUAGAGCAUGUGACUUUUGAUCUCAUGGUUGUGAGUUUGAAUCCCAUGUUGGGUA